AUUGAACGCUGGCGGCAUGCCUUACACAUGCAAGUCGAACGGCAGCACGGGAGCAAUCCUGGUGGCGAGUGGCGAACGGGUGAGUAAUAUAUCGGAACGUGCCCAGUCGUGGGGGAUAACGUAGCGAAAGCUACGCUAAUACCGCAUACGAUCUAUGGAUGAAAGCGGGGGAUCGCAAGACCUCGCGCGAUUGGAGCGGCCGAUAUCAGAUUAGGUAGUUGGUGAGGUAAAGGCUCGCCAAGCCGACGAUCUGUAGCUGGUCUGAGAGGACGACCAGCCACACUGGGACUGAGACACGGCCCAGACUCCUACGGAGGCAGCAGUGGGGAAUUUUGGACAAUGGGCGCAAGCCUGAUCCAGCAAUGCCGCGUGCAGGAUGAAGGCCUCGGUUGUAAC
rnacentral:rRNA from 1 species